ensembl:lncRNA
GUCCCCGAGGGCACCGGAGCAGCAAGUGACCAUGUCCCCGCCUGUCCCCCAGGUCCAUCGUGGGACGAGAUUCUUCUUCCUCCUGGGAACGCUGUACCUGUACCGCUGGGUCACCAUGUACGUGACCACGCUGCCUGUGCCCGGCAUGCACAUUCAGUGCGCCCCCAAGACUCCCCGCGCCACUUCUGGUGGUAUCACCUGGUCUGCUGGCUGCUGAGCGCUGCCGGCAUCCUCUGCAUCCUCGUGGCGCACAAGCACUACACGGUGGACGUGAUCGGUUGCCUAUUACAUCACCACGAGGCUGUUCUGGUGGUACCACUCCAUGGCCAACGAGAAGAACCUGAAGGUCUCCUCACACACGAACUUCCUGUCCCGAGCCUGGUGGUUUCCUGUCUUCCAUUUCUUUGAGAAGAACAUCCAGGGCUCAGUCCCUUAGCGCUUUCUCCUGGCCGCUGUCCUGGCCUCCCGGCUGCUUCAAGUCGUGCGUGCAAAAAGUACUCCCGGGUGCAGAAGUCGGGCGAGGACAGUGAGAAGUCCACCUGAGCCACGGCCGUGCUCCACGCUGCAGCCAAAGACAGCUCCGUCCUUAUGCUGGAGAACUGACUGGAGGCGGAGCAGCCGUCCACACUGCAGGCUCGGGGGAGAUGAGGGGCGUAUUGAUUACCUCGAGAGGUCUCUGUCCCUCCUGAGGCCUGCCUCACUGGUGAUGGGACCUCAGCGGGCUGUACGGUGAGCUUGUUAAAGAGGUGCCAAAGACCCCAGACUCCUCUUUCUUCCCUGUCACUGAGCCCCACCUCUGCACUCCUUCAGGGCGUCCUCCUCACCGGGGUCAGCGGGAUUUGUUCAUGUUUUGAAUAAAAGAUCCGGGUCUAUGCAGCCACCGGGCACAGGGAAUCCCCCUGAGGAGAGGGGUCCUGGCCGGGACUGGGAGCUGAGUCCAAGUGCACUUUCUUUCCAACCUGGCGGGGGAGGAAGGUCGCAGUGGGUCCCCGGUGCCCUCGCUGCCACUUUGACUCUUUUCUGUUUUUUAUUUCUUUCAAAUGAAUCAUUUUGAAGAAAAAGAUCCAAAAGAAAUCUGAAAGUAUUUAAUCUAUCCAUGGAUUUAAAUGUAAUGUUCAUAUUUCAAUUUAAAAUCUUUAGGAUGUCCGGGUGUGGGGGUGCAUGCCUGUAAUCUCAGCACUCAGGGGGCUGAGGCAGGAGGGUCACUGCAAGUUCGAGGCUAGCCUGAACGAUAUAGCGAGCCCCUGUCUCAAAAAACCAAAACAGAAGUAAAUGAAUCUGGUUCACCAGAAGUACGAGGCUGUUUCACACACACAGCUGGAUGCUGCUGCCCGGGGCAUUUGCCUCCGGCUGGCACAGGCGGCAGCACCUGGUGCUGAGCACUCACACCAGGGACGAGAGAGCUGGCUGACCUCGGGGUGGGAUGCCUGGCUAGACCUCGGAAGGACCCGUGUGGGCUGCUUCCCUGCACACUGUUCCUCGCUGGCCACCCUGGGUGCUGCAGGCCGAGUGGAGUCGCAGGUUGAAGGUGUCCUGGCCAGUGGCUUCCCGGGCAGCCGCUGCAUGGGCGCCUUUCCCGGGUGGGGAGGCCGAAAGUGGACAACUGUUCCCGAAUGUCUGUCCAGAGAUGCCAAACAGAAGGUGGCUUUGAGGAUCUGGUCAGAUAGUACUGUCAGUUUCCUGCAUUACUCAGUGCGAUUGAAAUUUGUGGCUAAUUUCUGGCUUAAUGCCUUCACUCUGUGAACACUAAUUUCUAGGACUUGGGAGGUGAAAUUUCCCUAGAUUUAUCAUUACAAGCCUCUCAGCCUUGAUGACACAAGUUGACUUUUUUUUGCUUGCAAAAGGCACUAAACAGAUCUAUCCAGAAGGGUCAUUUUCCUUUGGUGCUAAAAUUCUGUCUGUCCCAAUGGCUCUUUCUCCACAUAAUAGAAGAAUCCCUCAAGGGAGGGUGGUUGAAUUCAAAGGCAGGAAGAAAAACUCUCCAAUCCGUUAUUUUAAACGAGAAAGAAACCUUCACCAUCUGUGGCUGACUUUGAAACCCAAGGAUUUUCCAAUGUUUUUAAAUAAAGCACUAAUCAACAUGUGUCUACCCUAGCUGGUAUGUUCAGGCCUAAUUCUAUAGAAUUUCCACCCCUGUGCAUUUACCCGAUGUUGACUCUUGUGGUAGAACAAGAUGUUCUGCUUGAAAACACUAAUUUCAGAUUCCUGUUGUCUGACUAAGGAAAUUCAUUGGACCUUGAAGCCCUGCGUCUGUAGCUCAAAACAAUCCACUGGACUUCAGGGUGUCCAGGUGACCCACUUUCCUGCCAUCGGGUGAGGGAAAGUGCUUAAGCUUUAAAGACCAUUGUGUAUUGAGGAUCAGACUCCCUCCAAAUGGGCAGCCUUGCACUGCAGCCAGCUCAUCCAGGGACAGGUAUAACCGUCUGCUCCUAAAGGGCCCGGGAACCCCGAGACCCUCCUGUGGGGCACAGCGGUCUGUGCCCCUGGUCUUGUGUCCUGGCUCUCUCUCACAGAUGCUGACGAAGAGGGUGGCGGGAUAAUAAAAGAGGAAAAUGUCCAGGUUUCAAGCAGAAGAAGAAAUGAGACUCAUUUACAUGUAGGAGAACAAACUUGAGAUUUAACCCCACGAGCCACUUUGGCAUGGAAAAAACCAAUUACAAUGUUGCCUUUGAAGCAGUAAAUUUUCAUGAUGCCUUUUCCUUGCCAAUUAAAAUACAGCUGUUACACGUGACCUAUGUUUUUGUAAUCUGUGCUCCUAGCGAAUCCUUUGAAAUGUCUGACACAUAAUGCUUAUAAAUUAAGCCACAUUUUUUUCCUGAACUCUUCCCAGUAGAAAUAAGUGCUCUCAGAUUCAAUUAUAUUUUAGCUCCUUCAUGAGAUUUAAGAAGAAAGUGUUCUUCUGCCAGUCCCGCCUGAAUUCAAUGUGAAUUUAUGGUUUAAUUUAGGGCGUCUUGGGAAACAGCCGUUGCUAUGGAAGGGAGCUUGGCGCUCCGGUUCUUGGGCGUGUUCUCAGAGCCCCCUUGUGGCAGGAUGUCACGCAGCUUGGGACACAAAUGCCACUUCGUAAAAUACGUGUUCAGGUUUCAAAAAGGCAUUUGUGUUUCUUUCCCUUUGUGUAUUCGCUUGAUUUGCCUGUGAUCCUGGGGAAGGAAUUAUUUUAAAGACAUUUUAAACCCUUCUCAAAGGGGAAAUGUUCUCGGAUGGUAGUGACUUGUGAUUCUGGCCUUUUAUCCGUUCGAUGAAGGAAAACGUGCCUACCGUGGUUACCUCUCAGGGUCUCAAUAAUUGAUGCCUCCUUAUGCCCACCGACACCUGUUUGCUGGGAAUCCCUGCCAGCUGUCUUUCUUACUUUUUUUUUUUUUAAUUUACAUGCUAGACGUCAUAGACUUUGUUUUUAAACCGAAAAUUCACAUCUUGUUCCUUGAAUAUGUUGAACAUUUCUUUUUUCUUUUGGCAUAAUUUUUGUUUUGUACUGUAAACUGAUUAAAGAUUUGAAGCUGGUCUUAACACCCUCACUUCUAUAGUGUAAAAGAGGUGUGAGGAGGAAUUUCUUAAUGAGUUUACAUGUUUAAAUCAAGCAGAUUAUAAUUUAUAUGCCACAUAUUCUGUUUGUAUAAAGAGCUGCUGGUAUUUUUGCUUUUAAUGUCAUUAUGUUGCAAUAAUUUAACUCCUUUGACUCCACUGGUAAAAAUAUUUCCUUUAUUAUGAAGUGCUCUUGUCUUCAAUAUCCAGACACUGAAAAUCGUGUCAAAUGUACCCAAAGAGGAGUUUUUAUACAGGUAGACACCUUAUAAGUCCAGGUUUGUUUUAUUAUUCAUUAAUCUAACUUUGUGUCCUAAGUGAAUCAUUAAGGAGAAGAGCACUUUACUAUGGAAUUAUUUUUAAUUGCCCUUUAGAAGAAGCUGUACACAUAAGCCAGUCUUGCUUCCAAGUUGGAACUCACUAUGUAAUUUACCUCCUCUGCGAUAAUGGAUCCAGAACAUACGGCUGGGGUACAGCAUAUUCACAAAAGAAAUAUUGUCACAAAGUUAGCGGGCCGGGGGCAAUUACUUUGUUUUGGAAACUUACUGUACUGUUUCAAUGUGUUAAGUGCCUUGUUAUGAAGUAAAAUUUUAAGUUUAGGAUUCAUUAUUUUCCUGACAUAUAUUUUCAUUAAGAUAUGUGCUGUAUGUUAUUGUAAUAGUUUUAUUAAAUGCUUACCUUUUAACCAAAUAUGUACAUUUCCGAAACUCCUUUCCUCCUGCCCACAGCACCUUGCAUUCAGGUUAUUGUUGUUAAAGGAAAUUACCCUUGUUUAGCACUAUAGUGUCCUUGCUUGUGCUUUUGCUUCUGGGAAGACAUUUCAGGAGGAAACUAGGGGUCUAACUAGUUUAUACUUUUGCAGUGCUGUCUUACAUUUACAUUUUAAGUGCCUAAAUGUUAAAACUAAUUUACAUUUCUAUUUGAAAGAGGAUAUGUGUACUUGGUUUUUAAUCUUUUUCGUUUUGCUUUUAAAAAAAACCAAACCUGCAAGAGCCUAUACUUUGUAUUUACCAAUAAACCACAGUGACACUAACAGCCUUUUCAAAACUGGUAGUACUGUUUCUUUUAUUUUUCAAAAGGUGGUCUUAAAUUUAUUUAGUUUCAGAGUACUUGUUAAAACCACAAGUUAUGUUCUUCAAGCACUUUUUUUCUGAGACAGGGCUUUGCUGUGUGCCCCAGGCUGGCCUUGAACUUGACAGGAUCCUCCUGCCUCAGCCUCCUGAGUGCUGGGAUGACAAGUGUGCACCACUGCGCCCGGCGCAUCAGUAUUUUUUUAAAAUAAGCUAGAUAACCUUUAACUCAUGGAACUGUAAGUCAACUGGAAUGGAUUAUUUUUUUCCUGCCCUUGUAUUUAAGGUGAAAAAUUAUUUUGAAACUAUAGAAGAUGGUUUGUGGAAAAAAUUCAUUACGCUACAAUUGUGGGUCUCCUUGGUCACAAGGGGACAAAGCCCCAGUUCUUAAAGGAGAGCUGGGUACCUGUCACUCAGUUUAGAGAAACCUGGCUCCUUUGCAGAGGCCCUGGGGCGCCGUCCUCAGCUGCUCUGGCCCGGGCUGAGUGACUCUAGACCUCCUGACAGGUGAGAUCCUGGCCCUGAGAGGGACUCAGCAGGACGUGGCCCAGGGGGCGGGGCUCCUGGGGCUUCUGGAGACGCCCUGGGUCUGCACUGGUUGCCGGGAAACAGCAAAGAUGGGGGAGUUCUGCAGCUGCCUCUGCCAGGGGUGGGGACAGCACGUUCGCCCCAGAGGUGGCCGUGGCCCUGGCCACACGGUGAGCUACUGGCUUGGCCUUGGGCUGCUCAGGCGGAAUCCACUAUACAAGAAACGUCCGCGUUCGGGACGGACAGGCGGAUUCGAGGCUGAGCUCCCGGGCCGCCUCGGAGACAGUGGGAGACGCCUGGGCAGCCCUGCAAGUGCCCGUGAGGACUAAGACGCUCAUUCUCUUUCUGAAGCCAACUCCAGGAAGGAAUGAACAGGCAACCUCACACAACGAAAGCCGUGCUCCAAAACGUAGAUUGUGGACAAGAUUCUGAGGGACUAGAAACCACUUUAAAAUGAAAAUAAGAGCCAGGG